rnacentral:rRNA from 1 species
ACGGGUGAGUAACGCGUGAGCAACCUGCCUAUGACAGUGGGAUAGCCUCGGGAAACCGGGAUUAAUACCGCAUAAAAUCGUAGAAACACAUGUUUUAACGGUCAAAGAUUUAUCGGUCAUAGAUGGGCUCGCGUCUGAUUAGCUAGUUGGUGAGAUAACAGCCCACCAAGGCGACGAUCAGUAGCCGGUCUGAGAGGAUGAACGGCCACAUUGGAACUGAGAAACGGUCCAA